rnacentral:rRNA from 1 species
UACGGAGGGGGCUAGCGUUGUUCGGAAUUACUGGGCGUAAAGCGCACGUAGGCGGCUUUUUAAGUCAGGGGUGAAAUCCCGGGGCUCAACCCCGGAACUGCCUUUGAUACUGAUAGUCUCGAGUCCGGAAGAGGUGAGUGGAAUUCCGAGUGUAGAGGUGAAAUUCGUAGAUAUUCGGAGGAACACCAGUGGCGAAGGCGGCUCACUGGUCCGGUACUGACGCUGAGGUGCGAAAGCGUGGGGAGCAAACAGG